rnacentral:rRNA from 1 species
AUUGAACGCUGGCGGCAGGCCUAACACAUGCAAGUCGAGCGAGAGGCGGACGGGUGAGUAAGGUAUGGGGACUGACCGAUCGAGGGGGAUAACUACUGGAAACGGUGGCUAAUAACGCAUACUAUCGGAUAACCCAUAUGGGAUUCGCUAGUAGGUGGGGUAAAGGCAAACCAAGGCGACGAUCGCGAGCUGGUCUGAGAGGAUGAUCAGCCACAUGGGGACGGAGACACGGCCCAGACUCCUACGGAGGCAGCAGUGGGGAAUAUUGCACAAUGGGCGCAAGCCUGAUGCAGCCAUGCCGCGUGUAUUAAGAAGGCCUUAGGGUUGUAAAGUACUUUCAGCGGGGAGGCGUUACCCGCAUAAGAAGCACCGGCUAACUCCGUGCCAGCAGCCGCGGUAAUUC